rnacentral:rRNA from 1 species
UACAGAGGUCUCGAGCGUUGUUCGGAUUCAUUGGGCGUAAAGGGUGCGUAGGUGGCGUGGUAAGUCUGGUGUGAAAAUCCCGGGGCUCAACCCCCGGAACUGCACUGGAUACUGCCAUGCUUGAGUACUGGAGAGGAGAUUGGAAUUUACGGUGUAGCAGUGAAAUGCGUAGAUAUCGUAAGGAAGACCAGUGGCGAAGGCGAAUCUCUGGACAGUUACUGACACUGAGGCACGAA